CUUGCUCCCCCCGCACGGUGUUCUCAUUCCGACUUUCUUUCGUCUAUUCUUGACACUUCGUUGAAAAAAACAAAACAAUGCACAAACACUGCCUGUGAGCGGUAUCAAUUGACCUUUUACUCAAGAACCUUUUCUCUCUCGUUUUUUUUACGUUAACAACAUUUUGUCGUCUUUCUUUCUUUAUUUUGGAGGAAUUGUUUUCACCGACCGCUGGACAGCAUAACGGGGAAAGUGACGUGGAAUAUGGGGGCAAAAGGACAGGACAGAGUAAGAGAUAAUUGAGAAAUGCUCCCCAUUCUACUGUUCCUUUUUACCUUCCUCUUUUUCCUUUUUCUUUCUUUUUUUGCUUUUUUCACCACCUUUUAUCCAUCCAAACAUCCCUUUUUUACCUCCCACCAUGUUUGUACUGUCCUUCCUUGCUUCUAUCACCCUUUUUCCUGUCAUUCUUCCAUACAUUUAAUCUCCUUAGCUAACCUCCUGUUUUCCCCUAAUUUCUGACUUUAAUUCUCUAGCCUUUUCCUCCACUCCCUCUAUUUUAUUUUACUCUAUUACUAUUUUUCCUGCUCUCCUCACCCAUUGUCUCUCUUUACUCCCUCUUUCAUUCUCUCAACCCCUCCCUACCUUCCUCCCUCCCUACGUCCCUCUUCCCGAUUUGUCCUUCAGCUCUGUCAGCACUCACUAUCUCGCUCCAUCUCCUUCUCUGGCAGUCUGAUCAGCUGUCUCCCUUCUAACUUUACAUGGCCUGGUGUGGUGCGGAGGGACGGGCGGCUGCCGGCUGACGCAUUUCACUGCCCAGUCAUCACUUCAAAUCAAAUCCUCUUACACAAACCUGUGUGCUUUUUUUUAUUGCUCACUAUUUUUGCUCUUUUCUACCUGCACUGGGUCCAAUGUUUUUUUUUUUACCCCUCCUCCUUUUUCAUCCCAACCAGCAAGAAAAAGAGAGGCAAGGCAAGUCCCCUGACCCUCUUCUUUUUCUUUCCUCUCUUUUCACUCCUCCUCCUCUUCUCCUCUUCUCCUCUCUGCAACCUUAAACUCUCCAUCGCUGAUUCAGCUCCCAGGGAAGGAAAGACUCCGCCUGCAGCGACUGCUUCACUCCGCACGGGCCAGCAUCCCUAUCUGGAUCACCUUUUGCUACGGUCCUCCUCAUCCACUCUCACUCACCUUUCGGGACCAGACUCAGACUAAAAUGCUUUGCUAAAGCUGGUAAAAUGGAACCAAAUCAACUGUUCAAUGGAUUUGGUCCCCUUCAACCAGCUGUAGCUGUGCAUUGAUCACUCCGAACACACACGCAGCCACAGAGGUGAAGGAAAGGAUAAUUCAGAUGAAAACUGCUUUAACAUGUAGAACUGAAGCUACGUUAGCUUCUCCACAGAAACCAGUGGACUGAGACACAGCAUGCUCCAGUUACUGCAUGGAUUUAUCUCCAUCACACACAUUAUCAGAAAGACAUUGAAGUUAUUUGCAAAAUCUGAAUAAAACAAGUCAGGUAAGAAAUGACAGAUACUGUACCUUUGAGUGAAUUUGUAUUUUUGUUGUGUACCGCUAUAAUUGCAUUAUCCUUUGGAGACUUUUUUAUUGUUCUUUGCAGAUUAUUUGAGGAGUGUGUUUGGUCCAUGAAUUGCUGUUGUGUGUGUGUGUGUGUGUGUGUGUGUGUGUGUGUGUGUGUGUGUGUGUGUGUGUGUGUGUGUAAAAGGGUGGUACAAGUGUAAGAACAGUCACUGUCUAAGAAAAGCAGUAGUGCGUAUUAGUGCACAUGUAUGUAUGUGUGUGACUCCUAAUGCACGUCUGAUCAAUAAAGCCUCGUCCUGAAGUUCACAUAAA